AUUGAACGCUGGCGGAAUGCUUUACACAUGCAAGUCGAACGGUAGAGGGGGCAACCCCUUGAGAGUGGCGAACGGGUGAGUAAUAUAUCGGAACGUGCCCAGUCGUGGGGAUAACGUAGCGAAAGUUACGCUAAUACCGCAUACGAUCUAAGGAUGAAAGCGGGGGACUCGCAAGAGCCUCGCGCGAUUGGAGCGGCCGAUAUCAGAUUAGGUAGUUGGUGGGGUAAAGGCUCACCAAGCCAACGAUCUGUAGCUGGUCUGAGAGGACGACCAGCCACACUGGAACUGAGACACGGUCCAGACUCCUACGGGAGGCAGCAGUGGGGAAUUUUGGACAAUGGACGCAAGUCUGAUCCAGCCAUUCCGCGUGCAGGAUGAAGGCCCUCGGGUUGUAAACUGCUUUUGUACGGAACGAAAAGGUUCUUUCUAAUAAAGAGGGCCCAUGACGGUACCGUAAGAAUAAGCACCGGCUAACUAACGUGCCAGCAGCCGCGGUAAAGU
rnacentral:rRNA from 1 species